rnacentral:ribozyme from 1 species
UGCUCAGAAUAAAAAAAAAAAAAAAAAAAAAAAAAAAAAAAAAAAAAA